rnacentral:rRNA from 1 species
ACGCUGGCGGCGUGCCUAAUACAUGCAAGUAGAACGCUGAAGGAGGAGCUUGCUCUUCUGGAUGAGUUGCGAACGGGUGAGUAACGCGUAGGUAACCUGCCUGGUAGCGGGGGAUAACUAUUGGAAACGAUAGCUAAUACCGCAUAACAGUAGGUGUUGCAUGACAUUUGCUUAAAAGGUGCAAUUGCAUCACUACCAGAUGGACCUGCGUUGUAUUAGCUAGUUGAUGGGGUAACGGCUCACCAAGGCGACGAUACAUAGCCGACCUGAGAGGGUGAUCGGCCACACUGGGACUGAGACACGGCCCAAACUCCUACGGGAGGCAGCAGUAGGGAAUCUUCGGCAAUGGACGGAAGUCUGACCGAGCAACGCCGCGUGAGUGAAGAAGGUUUUCGGAUCGUAAAGCUCUGUUGUAAGAGAAGAACGAGUGUGAGAGUGGAAAGUUCACACUGUGACGGUAUCUUACCAGAAAGGGACGGCUAACUACGUGCCAGCAGCCGCGGUAAUACGUAGGUCCCGAGCGUUGUCCGGAUUUAUUGGGCGUAAAGCGAGCGCAGGCGGUUAGAUAAGUCUGAAGUUAAAGGCUGUGGCUUAACCAUAGUACGCUUUGGAAACUGUUUAACUUGAGUGCAAGAGGGGAGAGUGGAAUUCCAUGUGUAGCGGUGAAAUGCGUAGAUAUAUGGAGGAACACCGGUGGCGAAAGCGGCUCUCUGGCUUGUAACUGACGCUGAGGCUCGAAAGCGUGGGGAGCAAACAGGAUUAGAUACCCUGGUAGUCCACGCCGUAAACGAUGAGUGCUAGGUGUUAGACCCUUUCCGGGGUUUAGUGCCGUAGCUAACGCAUUAAGCACUCCGCCUGGGGAGUACGACCGCAAGGUUGAAACUCAAAGGAAUUGACGGGGGCCCGCACAAGCGG